rnacentral:rRNA from 1 species
GUGUUUGGCACCUCGAUGUCGGCUCAUCACAUCCUGGGGCUGAAGUAGGUCCCAAGGGUAUGGCUGUUCGCCAUUUAAAGUGGUACGCGAGCUGGGUUUAGAACGUCGUGAGACAGUUCGGUCCCUAUCUGCCGUGGGCGCUGGAGAAUUGAGGGGGGCUGCUCCUAGUACGAGAGGACCGGAGUGGACGCAUCACUGGUGUUCGGGUUGUCAUGCCAAUGGCACUGCCCGGUAGCUAAAUGCGGAAGAGAUAAGUGCUGAAAGCAUCUAAGCACGAAACUUGCCCCGAGAUGAGUUCUCCCUGAGACUU